CCGCUUCCAUUAGUCACAUCAUCCACCCCAUCUCUUCAAUUGCAACAUAGCCGAGUCUAUUAACUUCGCUUUUAUUUUUUCAUGCUACAUUCUCUGCAAUGCUCUCUCUAGUCGCAUGUUUGUGCAAUUAUGCAUUAAUUGCACAUAGUUCAUUGGCCAUAAAAGGAGAAAUAAAAAAAAAAAUAAUUUUAUUAUAAAAAUAUAUUCGGCCACUCAACAUUAGAAUUAUAUCUUAUGGGGGGAAAGAGUAUGAAUUCAUUAUUGGAU
rnacentral:lncRNA from 1 species